rnacentral:lncRNA from 1 species
CGUACAAUUACACAGCUCAUAAAUAGGAGGACACCACACUCCUGCACAAGCGCACAUGUCCACAUAAAACCUUUAAUUACAGUUGCAAGCAGAUUAUAGAGAUUUUACAAAUAAGUUAUUCCAACUGUGGCAAUUGUUAGCACCACCUCUUGGAAAGAACCUCCAUCUGCACAGGGCUUCUCCCAGCAGUGCCUCUCAGUGCUGUGCUGAGGACUAUGGUACCUGCAGAGCCAGUCAUUAUCAAGAAAAGCAUUAUUAAAAACAGUUUGAUGGGUUUUAUUGUUGCUAUUCUCGUUUCAAUUAUUUAGAUAUUGCCACCUCUUUAAAUUAUUUGAGUAUUUAGAAACACUGACUCCUGAUAAUCAAAGGUGUAGUCAAAUGAAAAAGCGUGUGUGCCAGAUUCAGUGAACUCCUCGAAAGUUUAACACCAGAGCUAAAGAGAAAAACAUAUGGCAAAUACAAAUGAUUAGACAAUUAUAGAUGCUAAGAUUAACUGCCACUGUGACAAGAUGAGAACUAAGGGCUUUCUUCCAAAACCACCCCUCAUCUGAGCCAUAAAUACCCAUCAAAGGGGAUCAGAGAGAAAAAUAAUCUCAUCUCUAAACCCAAGAGGGUUUCUGGGAAAAACCUACUGCAUUGUACUGAUGUGAAAAAUCAUGAUGCAAUCACACUCUACCAAGAGGAUCUCCCAAAAGAGUAGUUUAUCCUAUUAAUUCCUUUUUGCUUAUUUAAUUUUCAAUUUUAAUUGUGUAGAACAGGCAAAUAAAAAUGAAUGAUUGAUGUUUUUUGAAAUGUACAAAACUUGAAAAGUAGGCACUUCUCUUAACAUAUCUUUUACAUUAUUUACAUCACUUUGCACUCAGAGCUGCUCACUGUGGUGCAGAGUCCUGUGAUUUAUGAGGGGCAAGAGUUUCACAAAUGGGAAUGGGACACUUUUUCUUCCCCUCCUCUUUUUUCUCAUAUUAGAAUAACAACAACAAACACACAAAACACGAUAAAAUUAUCUCAGUGCCUCUUAGAUUUCCUAGUUUUGCCUCUGUUUUCUAGCAUCAUAUUCUUAUGUGUAUUAUUCAGGAGGGAAAGUUUUCUACUUGGCUACAGUAAUUUCAUCUUCCUUCCUCAUAGCUUCAGCAACAAAAACAUCUCAGCUUGUGGGCUCAUAAAGGCAGAAUUAACAAGAAUAUACACGUAUAUACUGAGCCACACGAAUCCUGAUCACAGAUACAGAUAGGAGCACACACAGGCACAGAUACAGUCAUCUUCUACUUCCCUUAUUCAUUGUGAAGUCCAACUGGAAGUACUUAGCAGAGGGAUAUGAAGAAAGUGUGCAGGAUAUGGGUCUGGAACUUGGAGAAAGAAGAAAAUUUCAGUUCUGAGGGUCAAAUGAGUUUGUGCUGCUUUUUGUAAAAUAGCAGGAGCAUAAGUCAGCAUUUUCAGGAUUUAUUUUCAAUUUUAAGUGUUUUAAAAUGAGACUGAGCAUGAUGAUUUCUCAAAUCCAGACCCCUUGCUCCAGUCACAUGAAAUGCAGCCCAAUCAAUAACAGCUCUAAUUUUUUAAAAUCACACAUUUUGACUAUGAUGGUGCUUGCCUUUUGGCAACGCUAUUGGCUGUGAAGUCUCAGCUGAAAGGGUGCGCACUCACAAUUUAGCCACCUUCCUGUCAAUACAAUAAAUUGACCAGGAGGAAAGGGAAGAAAUUUUUCAGUAAUUUUUUGCAACAUGAAUUCAUUCUUUGCCAGGGAAAACAAUGGGAAAACACACAUGUAUUUGAUGGCCUCAUUCCCUGAAUAAUGAGUUUUUGAUGCUUUUUGUACAAUAGCAGGAGCUUAAGUCAGCAUUUUCAGGAUUUAUUUUCAAUUUUCAGUGAUUUAAACUUAAGACUGAGUUUAAGAUGACCGUGAUGAUGAAAUGUCCCAUGAGCCCUCACAUCUCUAUAUUCUGAUACAUUAGAAUAGAUUUCUAGUGCAAGAAGGAUAUGUCUGCAAGGAUACAGAAGAACUUAAUUGAACAGAGGCCUUGACACAACACUAGUGGUGUCCAUUCCAGCAGGAAUAGAGGGAAGUGAGUUGGGCGAGGAAAGUUGAGUAAGGUUCUCUCAGAUUUUAGAGAUUGGAGCAGGAAAAUAAACAGGAGACUUCUUUAUAUUUUAUAUAAAUAUAAAGCAGACUCCUGUAUUGGAAGGCAAAGCAGAAACAAGAACAAAGUACCUGAGAGGAGGCACAGGACAGCAUUCAGAAAUAAGUGGGAAAGAACCAGCUAAAAACAAAUAACAAGUGGCUGGGUCAUUUCCGCCACUUGCACUCAUGGAUGAACAUACAUGUCAAUAAGGUCUGCAGUAAUUUGCAAUAUUACAGGACACUCUGGGAGAUGUAUUUGUUCCCAGAGGUUAAAAAACUGACUGUUCAAUACAAUACACUGAUGGCAUCACUGUAUCAGUCUAAAGAAAACAACAAAAAAGCACUGGAGGAGAGACUAAGCUCACCCCCCACUACUCAAUGGAAUAGAACUCCCCACAGUGUACAGAGUCACGAUGUGUUCAGUUCAGUGCUUCCCAAUCAACAAGCAGGAGCAGACAGCCCAGGCCCUGUCAGUGCUCAGGGGAAAUAGCCAAACCCACUGAACGGCAUUUACCAGCGGUUACAAGCCUUAGCAAAAACGGCCAAGUCAGCACAUCCUUUGACCUAAAUCAACAAAACAAAGUGCUUGGGAGAAGCACUGUCGUAUCCGCAGUGGACAGCAUCUUUCCAAGAUGAAUGCCCAAGUUUUAUUCCCCUUUUAGAUGCCGCAAAUGGUUUUUGGCAGAUGCUUCUACACCCAGAUGGCGCCAAGUUAACUACUUUUAUUAUGCCUUUUGGAUGGUAAUCCUUCCACAGACUUCCUUUUGGCAUUGCUACUGCACCCAAUAUAUUCCAAAGGAAAUGACAAAGCUACUGCAGCACCUGGAAAGGGAUAGUUGCUUGUACAGACAAAGUCCUGGGAUAUUGCCAUUGGGAAGAGAAAUAUGAUAAAAGCCAGUCUAGAUUUCCAGAGACACUUGGUAUUCAGGUCUGAAAGGCAAUAAAGACUGGACUACAUCAAAACUAGCUAAACAACUGAGAUAACACACAUGAACACAAGGCAUUAAGGAAGACUGAGGAAGGGUAAAUGGGCCUAAGAAAGUAAUAAAUUAAUGCAAACUCCUGGAUCUAUGUCAAAGUGAAAUGAAGACUAGGUUAUGAGUAGCAUAUAUAUCCUUGUUAUGAACUCCUGGCAAAUGACAUCAACUGAUAUUUGAAUAUAAUACAAGAAUAUGUUUUCAACUGAGUGGAAGCCCCACCUGAAGCACAUAAUUCUCCUUUCCUGUAGCCACUCAGAGACACCUGCAACAUACAACCCAGUCAGACUGGUGGGGCUGCUACAUACUACUGCUAGACAUUGCUGAUGAUAUAAAUCACUCUCUGCAGACUGAGAACUGUCUCAUUGUGAAAGAAACAUGUGAAAAAUGUAGGAAAAAAGCUCUUCCAGAGAGUUAAUUCAACUUUUGACUGACCACAAACCACUUGUACCCCUGAUAAAUAAGAAAGACUUGGAUCAUGUGCCAGUGACUUGUCAAGCCCUACUUAGAGCUUAACUAGGUACAAUCCGCAGACAUAAUACAGUGUUGUGCCUGGCACAGCCUUGCCCACUGGCACUACCCUGCCCAGAUACUUUGCAAAUGUGACAGAUGUAUGAAUAUUGCAAAUCAUUGAGGAAAUUAAGGCUUUAUGAGAGAGGCCUUCAAGCCUUAAAACCUGCACCCGAUUUAUACUUAAAACACAUCUGAUCGGCUAAUACCAAAAAUGUAGAGCUGCAGUAUUAGAGUGUGGGAAAAGUGACUGCCUUAAGUGCAGUAGAAUCAUAUCCUUAUUCCAGAAAGAAGUAACAUUUCAGAGCCAACAUGAUUAUCCCAGCAAAAAUAUCCCUGUGGUACUUCAUUACUGAGAAUUAUGAAUAAACUGAGAUGUCCGUUCAGUGGUGUGCCACAGGCAGAAGACAUCUGCUCUUUCUAGCUAUGCCUGUGUGCCAUUGCCUGUGAAACACAAAGACUACUGCAGUCUCCCACUGAAGGCUGAGAUACCUGCUUAGAUCCUCUGAGUUCGGCACAUUCCUCACAAAUGACCUCCUGACCCAGUCCUUUCCCACGGGAAAAGGACUAUGUUGUAUUAGGGCAGUAGUGCUGGAGCACGAGUGGAGAAACACAAUUACUUCCCAUUUAUUCGUGAUUCUCUUGGCUAGUUAUUAUCCUUUAACACAGUGACUUCUAAACUGGAAUGUCUUUACUCAAAUGUUUUAAGGUUUAAGCCUUCCAGCAAUGCACUUUACAUCUCUAUCUGACAUUUUGUCUCUCUCUUCGCUCUCCUGGAAUUCUUGCUUUUAGCAACCACAUCCCUGGUUUUUGAUUCCCGGAAAAAAAAAUCUCCUUUCUCAUGGUGUCUUGCUCGAUCAUUGAAGUUGACAGGCCAAAAGCUUCCCACCAAGAUCUUGUUGGCUUUUUUGGCAUCCCACUUCUCCACAUCUGUUAUUUUAUAUAGCUAUCCAUAAUAUUACAAUUAUUGUGCCAGUAGCUUGUCCUCUUCAUAUCCACACUAUAUCUCUCACAGAUUUCUCCCCAAAUGGGUGCCUUCUCUGCUACAUUAGUUACUCCGGUCCCCAAAAAUCCAUCUGAGAGCUCUAUUUUUCCAAAACCAUAAAUCACCAGGGCUCAAAAUACCUAACAGCCUUAUACAUCAUAAAAUUAAUGACCAGAAAGUAAUGCAUUCAUAACUUGUGAUUGAAGGCCAAUGAUAGUGACACAAGAAACUUUCCUUUCCUCCAUGCUGUUGCAGCUAAGUAGCAUCCAGAAACUUGAUGAUGAGCUAAUGAUUGAUGCCCAAAAAAACAGAAAUUAUUGCUCUUUUUCACAGAAUUAUCAGCAUUACUUUUUAUUUAUAUUGAAGUGAGCUUCUGUUUGUAGACCUUAAAGUGUACUCCACUCCCUUACAAAUCAGAACACAACAACCCAUGUGUCUCAGAUUAUAUACCAUCCUUUGCCCACAAUCUAAAAAUUUGCCUUGAAAUGAUGACAACUAGAAGACAGGGAUAAAAGAAGAGGCAUCCCCAAAGAGAGGAACAUCAUCAAGGAGCCAUACCCAUUUUUUACGAUAUUCAGUAACACAAAAUAACUAAGUCUACAGAAGGCAAUUGGGCAUAAUCAUAACAUGUGUUCUUAUUCUAUGUAGGAUAAAAACUAACAUUUAUUGCCUACUUAGCAUUCAUACUCAUUCUACUAAAAUUUUGCUCACAGUCUCAUUUCAUCUGUGCAAUUUGCUGGGCCCUGGCUACUGCCUACUGGACAUUGCUCAUCACUGUACAGAAUUUUUGGGGAGAGGGGAAGGCAAACAGAUGAACAGGCCCCGCGGCUUCUCAACCCACAGCUGAAACAGAGGGAUAACCCAGGCCUAUGGGUUUUAAACCACCAUAACAGUACCACUUUUCCCCUUAUUCUACCCUUUCUAUAACAGUUUUCUAUACUAUCUCCUAUAUUAUCUCACACUGCAUGUCCCACUUGAAACAUUUACUCAUGGGUCUACAAUGGUAUAUAGGAUUUGCAAUUGUUUAUUGGGUGAGCACCAGCCAAGGUCAAACCACUACAGUCUGUCAGAGGGACAGGUCUAUGAUUUGUGACACCUUACAGGAAAAGUCUAGUUUUUUCUCACAAUGUCAGUAUUAAAAGCAAAAUAGGGUACAUUUUUAGCCAAAUCUCACAAUCAAUAAAUCCCCCCACCCCCCCCCCCAAAAAAAAAAAAAA